UUGUAAAUAAAGGAUGGUCACAAUCCUCGGCCAUUAUGAAAUGUAUCAUUCAAUUGACCUGGUUAGCAGCAAAGUACCAGUUUAAUUUGAUGUGUACAGGUACCAAAAUUCAACAAUAUUACAGCUGACGCAUUGUCUUAUUUCAAGCACAUCCAACAGCCAGACACCCAACACAAAUCCAAACUUUCACCAAUUAACGAUGUAUUAAAUAGCCUUAUU